rnacentral:rRNA from 1 species
CCAAUUUUCUGCCACCGAAUACAUUAGCAUGGGAUAAUGGAAUAGGACCCUGUCCUCCUAUUUUCAGUUGGUUUUGGCAGCGCGAGGACUAGGGUAAUGAUUAAUAGGGAUAGUUGGGGGCAUUAAUAUUUAAUUGUCAGAGGUGAAAUUCUUGGAUUUAUGAAAGAUUAACUUCUGCGAAAGCAUCUGCCAAGGAUGUUUUCAUUAAUCAAGAACGAAAGUUAGGGGAUCGAAGACGAUCAGAUACCGUCGUAGUCUUAACCAUAAACGAUGCCGACCAGCGAUUAGGAGACGUUGAAUACAAAACACCACCAUCGGUUGCGCGGUCAUCCUUGGCGUCUCGGUUUCGGCCGGGGCGCGGG